rnacentral:lncRNA from 1 species
ACUCUCCCUGGCCUUACUAGGGGGAUCGAUAUACAAGUUACGCCACUUCCACUUGUCAGCUCUGCACGUCAUCCAUAUUCCCCCUACUUCAGUUGGGACGUAAGUAUGAGAGACUUAUGUCUUAAUGUGCUCAUAUGCAUUGUUUUUCCAUUCCAUACAUGUAGUUUGCAUACUUAUUUGGAGAUAUAGAUAUAUAUAUAUAUAUAUUCACAAAUAAUGGCACUCACCCUUCCUGAUGUAAUGAAUAGUAAAGUGCCCUGGUGCAAUCUUAUGCUGAUAAUUAUUUUGAAGAAAGAUGCCCAAAUUCUGGAAUAUUGUUAUUACAUGUUUUGUUCAAUGUUGCCACUUCUGCGUUCACUCAUGUGUCGUAUCUCUGGCGAUAGUGGUCACCUAAGUAUUUAUAAAUUGAUAAAGGCUUAAUUCAGCCAAAACAUUGUCUCAUUCUUUCACCUGCUUAAAAUCUGCUUUACCACGAUUCCUGUGUACCCGGACCAUUUCUGGUUUACCAGAAAGACUUUUAAUCUAAAAUUCUCUUGUGCUUACCCCACACCAACUGGUUGAUCUCUGAGAUAGUCACUACUCCUAAUUUGGUAACCCUGCUAGCAGUGGCGUACACACAAUCCAUGGGGCCCCGGUGCAAAACUGAUCCGUGCCCCCCAAUCCCUCCGACACAUACAAACAAACAUACACAUACAUCCCUCAACAGACACUUACAUUCAGAGAUAUAUAUAUUACAUACAGACACACGGGGCCCCAUGCAUUGUGUGUACGCCACUGCAUACAUAGACACACGUACAUACAGAGACAGAGACACACACACACAUACACAAAAUGUUUCCUGCCUUGUUACUUUCCCUGGGGUCCAGUGGUGGCUCAGCCUGAUGGGAGUCAGAGUUCCCACUCUGACUCCCUCCUCCUCCCGCGCGGGUCCUGAUAGCUGGGAGGAGUGACCGGGGAAUCACUUCGUACCAGCUCUGAUGGGCCCCCUCCAUAUGAGGCCCUAGCGGUUUGCCGCAAAAUGUGACAGCAGGCCUGGUACCCAUUCGCAGGGGUCCGCAGGGCGGCCGGGCCCCCUGGAGUGCUGAGCCCGGCUGCGACCCCUGCGACCGCGGUAUGUACGCCGCUGCCUGCUAGUGAUGAAGUGGCUCAAAAGCAGAUGCUUAUCUAGGGGAGGGGAGAGAAGGUUGUUUGCAGGUCUCAGUAAGGGUAAGAAGGGUGAACAGGGAGGUUGUUCUUUUUUUAAACUGUAUUACAGUGUUGCAUUUGCUCUCCUUAACACACUCCCAGAUGCCCAAUUAAUUACUUGUCGUAAAACACUUUAUAAGUAAAAAUAAAUAAAUACAUUCCCUAAUUUAUGUUGUUCUAAAUUGGAUUUUUAACAAUGGAAUGUAUUCCAGUAGUGUAAUAGUUAUUUUUUUUUUCUUGGGGGAAUUGCAAGCACAUGUAAAUGUUCUUAAACUGAUGCAGUAAUCAGGUUUCCAUGCCAUUUCUAUACCGUGGCUCGGUUAUUUUUAACCCCUGAUUGCAGAGGUUACGUUUAAUCAGUCCUGCAAAUGGACACUUGUACUUUGUGCCAGUACAGUGAAUUGGGCAGUCAAAUCAGUUUAAAUCAAUUGCAGUAAUGUACUGCUGUGUUCGCGGAAGUCAGGAAAAUUGAGACUCUUUAGAUCAGAAUGGAUCUUUAGGUGAGAAUACUUUGCUUUUAAAUUUACAAUUGCAGAGAUGAUUCAUGUGGAGAAGAUGUAGGACUCUAAAUUUGGCAUAGAUGUGCUGUUGACUUUGUUGUUGAUCCCACUCAGUGUACAAUAAGUGGGACCAUCGUUGUGCUCCAACCUGAUCUCUAGGUAAUAGUCCAAGAACCCUUUGCUGGACGGUCUACCCCGAUCUUAUAGCUCUAUAUUGGCAAAUGCUGAACUGGGUCUUCUACGCCACUUCCGUAUAACGUCUUCCUUUCUUCUACUUGGGUUUUCUUUCUGAAGUUUCUUUCUAUUGAAUUUUUUUUGUGCAAUGAAUGCAAAAUAACAUUCCAAACCAGGGAUGUAGUACAGUUUACAAGCAUCCGAGAGAGUGGUCACCAAAGUACUGCUACAGUCAAGAUAUUGUUUUGUACAUGAGUAUUCAGAAUUCAUUUCAAACACUGCUCCUUGGGAGGUUUACUGCAUGAUUCAAACAAAGUAAAAGAAAUAAGCAAAUACAGAACAGGAAUGAAUCAGUUAGGGACAUUCAGUUUUGCACCACAUAUUUUCAUAAAUAUAGAUCUGGACAAACAGUGAUCUUCCAUACCCCACACAAUAGUCAUCUGCUAACAAGCCAAAUAUUGUACCCUAAGUGUCUUCCAUGCAGACCAGUUUUUAGUGAGUGGGGAUGUGGCACAUAGCCAUUUUAUUAUAUAUAUGUUACCUAUUGAUUACUGAUGACAUAGUGGGAGGGGAGGUUUGGAAUCAAGCCGUCGCUGUACUAAGCCAAAACUUUAAGGGAUGCCUGCUGAUGUUGUGCAAACAUAUCCAUGAGAAAGCAUUCUGGUGUCCUAGGGAGGCUCAUCUUGCUAGUAGUAAGGUUUUUGACCUCCGAAAUGGGUGUAGCUACCAUGGUAACACAAAGUAUAGUGGAAAUCUACAGGAGAUAUCAAUUUUAGGUGAGUAUCAUAAAAAGCAUAGCAGUUUUAGUAAUUAACUGCAUGGCUGCCAUCAGAAAUGUUUGACAUAAAACCAAAUGAAAAAUACACAGAACAGUAAAAAAAUAUCUUCUGCGCAUAGCCUUUAUGCCGCAAUUCUUAUAAAAAGGAUAGAAAAAAAAUUAAAUAAAUAAGUACCCAGUGAUUACUUACUAUAGCUGAUAGCUGACAGAUUCACUGCUGGGCUUCUGGUGCUGGUUCCAUAGUUCCAAAUUCCAUCUUCAUCACAAUUCCAAAAAAGAACCGCACUAAGUAAUCAGUAAGUUCCAAAUUAUCUCUACAAUGUGGAUUCUUAAAAGUACUCAGUUUAUUGAAUAUUAUGCAACACGGUACAAAAAAACCCACAGUCCUCAUAAGUAACUUGUGAUCAAGAUAAAAUCCUAGAUAAAUUCACAAAAAAAUACCAAAGAAAAUUCAGUCAUUUUUCAAAAAGGCAAAUAGACCCAAUUGUGGAGUCACAAACCUAUGCAAAGUCUUGAUGCAAAGGUACAUUAAUACUACAGCACACUGGGGCCAGAAGUUGUCUGGCAUCCCCCCUCCCACUUCAACCAUUUUAUAACGACAUUUUACCUGGUCUCUGCGAUGGGGACACGCCUCGUCCACUCAGUAGCUCAGUGCGAACUUGUAACUCCUGGUCACUAUUUUAAAAUAGACUAUUGAACUAUGGAACACUGCUAUUUUAAAAAAACGUCUUACAAUGAGACACUCCUGGCAGCACCACAAUCCCUACGAUGCACUUGAUUAACGCCUUAUAAUGGGACACUACUGGCGGCACCAUAAUCACUACAAUGCAUUGUAAAUUACUUAAUUUAACUAAUGUAAGACAUUGUAACAGCUAUAUAUUUUUUACUUAACACAAUCCUCAGGAAAGUAGGAAAGUAAAGAGAAAGUAAAGAGAUACCUAAAAACAUAGGAGAGAGAGCUAGUUUUGCAACCAAACAUUAAUAUAAAGCCUGGAUAUAAAUUGAGCAAGAAAAUAAUAAUUAAAAAAUGGGUACGUUCUGUAUCUGAAGCAGUACAGUGAUUAAUAUAAGACAAAUGUUAUGAUUCACUUUAGAAAGCAAGAAAUAUAUAUCCAAUGCUGCCAGGUUGUAUGUAUCAGAUAAAACGAUCCAUUACGUAGAUGCAGAUAGAAAGAGAUAAACAGAUUCAGUCCAUAUGUAUCAGUGCUGAAACAGCUUGAAGUGUAAAACUAUACUUUUCUUUCAGCCGUCAGAAUCUAGAAAAUGAAGGAAAAUAUGAAGAUUUGUGUUUGCUACAGGUAAAACAAGAAGUCCUCGUGUGUCUGUAAACUGAUGCUGCCUUUUCCAUUUGUUGAUGUAUGGGAGCUAUGGUUAUAAUUAUUUGAACAAUUUAAGUUUAUUUUAUUUUUUAAUUUGUAUUUAUAAUAUAGGGAACAAAAAAGUGUAUAGUAUCUAUCUAAACACUUAAAGGGACACUAUAGUCAUCAGAACAACAGCUUAAUGCUCUGCAUGGAGAUGCUAAACUUUCCUCAUUGAGAUGCAUUGGAGAGGGGGGAAAAAACAUCCUUGACGGUGAGACUCGUGUCCCUACCAGAGUGGCCGCCACAUAACCCUUUUCUAAAAAUUUAUUUAAAAAAAAAUUAGUUUGUGCUAUGUAAUGUUUUGUUAUAAUUCUUUCUUAUAUGAGUGAAUUGACUGCAUGGGACACCUGAAAUCCAUGUUUGAUGGUGGAUACUGUUAAUGUCAGCAAACCCAUUAGCAUCAGUGGGUUUAAAAGGCGUUUUAGUUUUAAUAUCAGUUUUGUCUGUAUAAAAAGUAAAAUCUUAGUUGAUUGUUUUACUAUCAAUUUGUGGAGAAAAUAUCAGAAAAAUAUAAUUUUCAUUGAGAAAGGCAAUGAAUUGACAUAAGGUGUCUACAGUGCUUUUAAAAAUGAUUACAAUGUCAACUUUAUAAUAUCUCCAUAGUACCAAGUCUGCACCAAAAUUAAUAUUGUUCCAAACAUUAUAUCUGUCCUAAUAAUCCAUGAAGCGAUUAGCAUAACUUGGUGCCCAAGGUAGUGCCUCUGAGUUGAAGGCAAAAAAAGCUCCAUUAAGAAAAUUAUGGGUUAAAAUAAAUUCAGUAGAUUCUCACAAAAUAUGACAAAAAGGGGCUUCAUAUUAAUAUCCUUGUCUAAACUGCUCUAAAACCUAACUGAUGAUCAAUUAUAGUCUAAAGAGGCCAAUAUAUAUUCUUCUUUCCAUUUAAUGCAUUCAAGAUGCUUUGUAUCUUUAACAUACGAUCUUGCUGCAGUGUAAAGAUGUCUGGGUGCCUAUAGCAUCCCUUAUAUGUUGUAAAUGGUAAAUCUAAAAACAGCUCUUCAUUUCCAUUGUUAACAUACUAUAUAUUAUGAUGGGUAAGAUCUAGGACAAAUCUAGACAAAGUCUUCUGGGUACUGACAUAACUAGGGACGGAAAAUGUAUAAUUUACGUUGCAGAUUUACAGCAAGAACAUGCAUAUUGAUGUUAUAUUACUGCUUGAAGUCUAUGGCCCAUUUCAAAAACAUUACAUACAAAUAAUAAAAAAAUAAAUAAAAAAAAAGCAUUUAAAAAUAUAAAAUAAAAAAUAUGAGGAUAACCAAGAUGAUUUUUUUUUUCAAUGUUGUCCUAGAUUUAAUAAACUUCCCAAAUGAUUCAAUGCUGUUAAAAAAAAAAAUAAGUUCUGCACUUCAGCCUCUAAAUAAACAGUGCCUGGUGCUCAACUGCAUAACAAAUAGUAUUUUUUUUUUUUUUUCAACUUAAUUCCAAUCUAACCCCUUAACACCGGAGGGCGUACUAUUACGCCCUAUUUUAGGUGGCUUUAAACGCCUCCGGUCUUUCUUUACUUACCUGGUCGCCGGGGGUCCCACGGGAACCCCCCCAUGGCACAUCUUCACUCCAGCAGCCCCCCGGCCAUGUGAGAGUGAGGUCCUUGAGAGGACCUCACAAUCACAUGGCCGGGAUAGCUGGCUGCAGCAUUGCCAGCAGGGAGGCUUCCUGUAAUGACAGGUGGUCCCCCUGCUGGCUGGAAAUAAAAUUAAAUAAAAUUAAUUAACGUUUAAAAGUGUAAAAAUAUAUAUAUGAUCUAACUAUAUAUAGAUACACAUAUACAUACACACAUAUACUGUCUAGGUGUAUUUUACUAUUAAUAUAUAUAUAUAUAUUAAUAUCAAAUUGCAUGUAGACUGAUACUGAUUAAAUAUAUAUGUAUAUAUUUAUAUAUAAUAUAAAAAAAAUAUGUAACUACGUUAAAAAAUAAAAUUAAAAAUAAAUUAAAAAUAAAUAAUUAAAAAAUAUAUAGAUAUGUGUUAUUUCGUUCUAACUGUAUUGUGAUAUUAAUAUAUAUAUAUAUUUAUAUCAAAAUACACGUAGAACAAAAUAAUAUAUAUAUCUAUAUACAUAAAUAUAUACGUAUAUAUCACUAUAUAUAAAUAAAAAUAUUUUAAAAAAUUUAUAUAUAUACAUAUACUAAUUCUACAUAUAUAUUUAUGUAAUAUUUUUACAUAAUUAGGUAUCCUAAUUAAUUACAAUUAGCGGGACCUGCCUGACAAUCCAUGCCGAAAGUAAAGGGAAUUUAAUUUGUUAGCACUAUAUUUCACCAUAUAACUUUUCAAAACACCAUAAAACCUGUACAUGGGGUUUACUGUUCUACUCGGGAGACUUCGCUGAACACAAAUAUUAGUGUUUCAAAACUGUAAAAUGUAUUACAAUGAUGAUAUCGCCAGUAAAAGUGAAGUUUAUGCAUUUUUCACAGCACUUACACGGACGAUAUUAUUGCUGCGAUACUUUUUACUGUCUUGAAACACAAAUAUUUGUGUUCAGCGAAGUCUCCCGAGUACAACAGUACCCCUCAUGUACAGGUUUUAUGGUGUUUUGAAAAGUUACAGCGUCAAAUAUAAGGCUUGUGUUUCAUUUUUUUCACAUUAAAAUUCGCCAGAUUGGUUACGUUGCCUUUGAGACCCUAUGGUUGCCUAAGAAUGAAAAUUACCCCUAUGAUGGCAUACCAUUUGCAAUAGUAGACAACCCAAGGUAUUGCAAACGGGGUAUGUCCAGUUUUUUUUUAGUAGCUACUUAGUCACAAACACUAGCCAAAAUUGGCAUUUUUUUGAAUUUUUCACACACAAAUACUAACGCUAACUUUGGCCAGUGUUUGUGACCAAAUGGCUACUAAAAAAGAUUGGACAUACCUCAUUUGCAAUACAUUGGGUUGUCUACUAUUGCAAAUGGUAUACCAUUAUGGGUGUCAUUUUCUUUCCUGGGCUACUAUAAAGUCCCAAAGGCAACGUAACCAAUCUGGCGAAUUUCAAUUUCAAAUGUAAUUUCAAAUGUAACAUGCUAUAUUUGCUAUAUAAUGUAUGUAUGUAUGUAUGUGAUCUUAUUAAGUAUAAAUUGAGGGACCUGCCUGACAACCCAGGCACAAAGUCUAGAUAAUGUAAUUUGCAAGCCCUGUAUUUGACCCUGUAACUUUCCAAAACCCCAUAAAACCUGUACAUGGUGAGUACUAAUGUACUUGUGAGACUUUGCUAAACACAAACAUGAGUGUUUUUAAACAAUAAAAUGUAUAACGAUGAUGAAAUCGUCAGUCAAAAUGCAGUUGUUCUUGUGAAAAUGCAAAAAAAAAAAUAUGAACACUAACUUUGGCCAAGAUUUAAGAGUAAGUGGCUACUAAAAAGACUGGACAUAACCAAUUUUGAAUACCCUGAGUUGUUUCCUUCUGCAGAUAUUAUGCCAAGAUGGAAGUAAUUCAGCAAACCAAUCUGCCAAACUGAAAGCCCUGUAUAUAACACUGUAACUUUCCUGAACCCUAUAAAACCUGUACUUAGGGGUUACUGUUGUACCGACGGGAUAUGACAGCAUACAAAUAUGUGUGUUAUUUUGCAGUAAAAACUGGCAGUAUUAUGACAUUCACGUUGAAAUGCCAUGCAGAACUUGGAAAAUAAAAUCUCUUAAUAUCACACACUUUUUAAGAUCUUAUUCAUGCUAAAUAAGUAUGGGUGAAAUUAAUAUGAAACAGGUAAAUUAUGGUUGAUUAGACAAAUUCUAUGUUUUGUAUUGGUCAGAACUUGGACAAUUUCCUUCACCCUUAAGGGGUUAAUGGUGAUUCAUGUAGAUAAAUAAUUUGGAAGUUUUUGUAACAGAAUUGAAUAAUUUGGAAAGCUUAUUAAAAAAAUAACAAGAGUUAGAAGAUAUUAGUGGCCAUAUAUUAUUGACAUUUUUCCAAUCUUGUUGCUAUUUUUUUUUUUUUUUGAAAAAUACUGCUUUAUAAUGUCUACCCAAACUGAUAACAAUCAUUGCGUAGCGUUUAACAUUGUGAAAUAUUUUGACAAAAGUGCAUGUAACAAGAAAUUACUAUAGCAACAACUAAGACAUAGUUAACCCUUUACACGCUGAACUGUGGAAGUCAACAUGAUAACUUAUUUACAAUGACUUUACCAUUAGCACUUGGGAAAUUAAUUGCCAUGUGUAGGUUAAUGGCGUAUCAUUAUCAAAUUAUACAUUUUUAUUUUUUUUUAUUUUUUUUAAAUGUGCAUUCAUUUUUUUUUUUUAGCAAGGUGUGAUUUUUAUAUAAAUCUGCUGCUAAGACGGUCUAAGCAAUUGAUGUUAGGAUUAUAUACGCAUACACUAAAGCACUGCCUUGUACGAUUAAGUCAUUGUUAUAUGGUAUUGAAAUCUUCCAUAGGAGCUUUGAGAACUUGACGCAUACGACAGCCCUGGUCAUUUGGGAUUGAAUAACUAGUUCACAAAAGUAUUCUUUGCAUAUCAUUCUGAAACCAUAAUGUAUCUCUUUUGAAGGAAAAGAGCCACAUGAACUUGACGCAUAACAAAGUAAUUAAAGUUGCGAUGCUGUUUGGCCUAAUGACUAGGCUUUAAAGGGACACUAUAGUCACCUGAACAACUUUAGCUUAAUGAAGCAGUUUUGGUGUAUAGAACAUGCCCCUGCAGCUUCACUGCUCAAUCCUCUGCCAUUUAGGAGUUAAAUCCCUUUGUUUAUGAACCCUAGUCACACCUCCCUGCAUGUGACUUGCACAGCCUUCCAUAAACACUUCCUGUAAAGAGAGCCCUAUUUAGGCUUUCUUUAUUGCAAGUUCUGUUUAAUUAAGAUUUUCUUAUCCCCUGCUAUGUUAAUAGCUUGCUAGACCCUGCAAGAGCCUCCUGUAUGUGAUUAAAGUUCAAUUUAGAGAUUGAGAUACAAUUAUUUAAGGUAAAUUACAUCUGUUUGAAAGUGAAACCAGUUUUUUUUUUUCAUGCAGGCUCUGUCAAUCAUAGCCAGGGGAGGUGUGGCUAGGCCUGCAUAAACAGAAACAAAGUGAUUUAACUCCUAAAUGACAGUGAAUUGAGCAGUGAAAUUGCAGGGGAAUGAUCUAUACACUAAAACUGCUUUAUUUAGGUGACUAUAGUGUUCCUUUAAGAUAUAAUAUAAUAGCCGUAUCAAAACGGUCUAUAUUGCCUUAGGAUUUUAAAACAAGUAUUGUGUAUAUAAAGGGCAAUAUAAUUAGCUAAUGCUAUCUUACUUUGCAUGUUAAAUCCUAUUAAGGGGAUACUAUAGUGCUAGGAAUACAAAGCUACUUUCCAAGCACUACAGCUCCAUGGAUCCCACCACCCCACCAUUGUGGGCCCCCCAGCAAAGUAAGGGUUGGUGCUGGAAGUCUCUUUAGUGGCUGUCUGAUUAACAACUAUUAUUGUAGUUUCUAAGACUGUAUGAUUGACAGCCAUUAGAGGCAGUCUUAAAAACUAUAAUAAUUAAAAUGGCAGGGUUAAGGGAACAGAGUCAGUACAUCCAGACCACUUCAAUUAGCUGAAGAGGUUUGGGCACCUAUAGUGUCCCUUUAAAUAAUAGUAAUAGCAAUAAUGAACUUAGGACAUACUGGUAGCAUGUUGGACUUAUGGAAAUGUGGUAUUUUAGAAUUACUAACUAAAAAAAAGGAAUCAUUUCUGAGGCAAAGUACUGUGUUUGGAAUAGACUUGGAGAUUUGUUUUGUUCCGAACUCCAUUUUCUAUAAAUUUGAGCCGAUCAGGUGAUCACCUGAAUUUCUGAACCCUAAGCCAAGAUGUAGCCAAAUCACAUACGAAUUUAAUAGAUAAUAUAUAAAUAUAGAUUUUUUUUUUUUUUUAACUCCUCUUUUUCCCUCAAUUGGUUACUUUUUCUCUAUGAACAAAUAUAGCAGAAAAAUGUAACUAUCAAUGUUCUAGAAAAUAUAUACUUUUUCUCACUUGAUCUGUGAACAAAAUGGUGGCAACAUGUUUCUAUUAUGUGUAUAUUUUGCAGUAUACUCAUUUUAUAUAUUUUUAUACCCUUUUCGAUACUCUGAAACAUUUCCCCCAGUCUUUUAUAGUUAAUGAAAUUCAGGUGACCUGUACUCUCAUACAUCUGAAAUUUGGCCUUACCAAAAUUAUUUUCAUUUUUGGGCAAAGUGGUUUUGCCAUUUUGUUGUGUACCAAUAUUGUUUGGAACAAGCAUUAAAAAUGUUAUUGGCUCAAUUUCAUAGACACACAUACAAAACAGUGUAAGCAAGAAAAUAUUUGCAUUUCUCUUAAAAGGUCUGAGAGACUUACUAGCCCAGCUAGUGGUAUCAGAAAGUAGUGUUAUAGGACAGUGUGGUCAUUUUCUGGAGUAAAGCCUUCAAAGAAGCGAUUACAUUAGAUGCGCCAGACCAGCCAUAUAUUCAUAAAAUGGAUUUCAACUAUGUGCUGUUGCUAGUUUACCAACAGUGAGAUUAUUAUCAUGUUACAAUUUCGAAGGCUUAUCGGUAGCAAGCAAAAGGGUUUAAACCAAUCACUAAGUUCUUCAGACAGAGCAUAAUGGAAGCGGUUUGUGACAGGUUUUUUUUAUUUUUUUAUUUUUUUUUUAUUAACAACUUUCUUCCUGAUGCUACGUAUGAAAUUGUAAAACAGCCACUACUUUCUAAAAGUAAAAAUAGGUACUAUAACAUGUAGAAUCCUGCAGGUAAACAGUAGUGACAAGUAUGAAAACACCCCAGCCCCUAGGGCAGAUAUAGGAUUUCUUGUGUAAAUGUAUCCAAAUACUGAGUGUGUGUCCUGUGCUGGUGUCGCAAUCGCGCAUGCACGCAGUCACAACUUUCCAAUGCUUCUCAGUAAACUGUAGUAUAGAAGGCACUCUAGCCUUGCAUGUCUGCGACUUCUGUUAGUUUCUAGUGCCUUAUGUGUCUGGAGUGCUCCUUUAAUGAUGUAAAAGAAAAAAAAUGAAUCUUUCUUUGAGUGUUUGAAGUAUAGGGUUACUAGGAUAUAUUUUCUACCCUGUAGAAAUCCAUGGGAUUAAUAUGUCAGUCCACAAUUAUCAGUAAGGUGUUUUCUAAACAGCAUAACUGGCCUUGAGGUUCUCAGAUGUUUUUUUACAACCGGCAGAAAAGUUAACUAUACCUACAUGAUUCCAUUAUGUGAGUUCUAGAAGGAAUAUAUUUUAUUAUACCCAUUGGAAUAUGUUUUUGCUUGAAAAUCACUAUUUAUGACUCAAAUUCCUUUAUCAAAAAAUAAUUCUUGCCUAGCAACUUGACACCAUCUUUCUUCAUUCUCUUGACAACUACUUUAACAUGCUGAGUGUAAAGAUAAUAUAUCACUUCAUAACAAACAAUAGCAGAUCACAAGAGACCACUGGUGCUGUGUAUCUAAUUAUAUAUUUGGCUUAUAUAUCUACAGUUUGGUAAUAAUUGGCAUUUUCAUACUUUGCUGAAUAAAAGCACAAUUCUGUGGUCAGUGAUUAUUUGUAUAAAACAGAAUGCUUCUUAGAUAAUGAAACUGAAUUGUUUAUUAAGUGCUUAUCAUAAAUACAUGCCUUUUAUACGAUGUGUUUGCAAUACUGACUAUAAGGCAAGCAGAGAAAUGGGGAAACUGACAAGAAAGUAGAGCUGAGUAAAACAUUAAGUACUAUGCCAUAUUGAUUGCAUGUGGAUUAUACAGUGAAUUCAGAAAGUAUUCAGGCCCCUUCAUUUUGUCACUUUUUUUUAAGUCAAGUCUAUUUUUGCCUGCAUUGCGUAGAAAACAUGUACAGUAUAAACAUUGAUGCGUUGUAAGACAUUACACAGUAGUUUACAUACAGCGUUGCUGAGUUUCUGCACUUUUUUUUUCAUAUACAUUGAUCACGAACAUUUUCUUAGAGGAUAUGGUGGGAAGUAGUGUGACCGAGACACCAGGAAAGCACUGUGUCUUUUUCUAGGUGGGCAAGAUACAGUAUAGAGUGAUCUGAGAAGGAUGUAAAUAUGUUGGGCAUUUAUACUGUUUUACUUAUAGUUGAGUUCCAAUCAUGAGUCAUUCGGAAGUGAUAAAAUGUUUUGAAUGAUGCCCUGAGAGAAAAGCUAGCACGAGUAGGACGCCCGAGUAACGUGCCCUUCAGUAGAAGGAGCAACGUAUGGAGGGGCUUAAUAGCUUACUCUACAGGGGCCAUACCCCUUAGCAAGGGAGUGUCGGGGGGGCGGGAUGGGUAACUGUUGAUGGUGUUCCAGGUACAUAUGUGUCAUCAAACCAGCCUUGCGCCCGUCCUUUCAUUGAGUGUGGUCAAAUAACAAUGGUCUAAAAGGGUUUCGUGAUGUGGAAUACGUAAGCAGUUUAGGGUGACAGAACUUAAACAUAGGAAAAUCUAUGAAAAUAUAACAUUUUCCUGACCCCUUUUUUCUUCUUUCCCCUUCCAGUUUUAUUUUUUUUUAUUUAUUUUUUUUUUUUUUUAAAACAAAAGCCUAAAAAGACAUAAGAAGGAAACAAGGUAUGUCCGAAAGUUUCAGGGUGGCUACCAGCCUUUUGUUAAUGGGUGAGUUCAUCACUAGCGUUAGUCAAGUGACUGUUGGGUUCUUCUGCUCUGUCCUUGGCAUGAAUGGUUCAACGGUGGCUGGAUCCCAUGUUAGGGUGGCGUGGUGGUCAUAAGUGGCAGCCGACUCUUCCAUGAUGACCAGCGCUAUCAAGAGUGUAUGUGCUUCAGCGCCAUUGGUGAGUUUGUGAGUUGUCCCGUUGUGAGUGAAAAAAAGGUCUCUUGACGUCCCCAAUCUAUAGACCACCCCUGCGGAGCGUAGGCGGCUGGUGACCAGGUUUAGGGAAUUUCUCCAUUGCAUUGUGGACUUAGUCAGGUCCUGGUAGAAAGUCAAUUGUGAGUCCUCAAAUAAAAGUGGUGUUUUACCUCUCAAUGUGGUCAUGAUGUGACCCUUAUCUUGGGAUACUGAGCAGUGGAGAAUGACAUCUUCAGCGUCAGCUUGCGCUGGUAUAGGGAGACGGUAGAUACCAGCGAUUGCCUUUUUUUGGGCUGUGGCAGGUGGUAAGAUUGAGGUCAGGAGUCGUUGUGUGUAGUGUGGCAAUUCGUCCUUUGUGAUUGUUGAUGGUACGCCUCUGACACAUUGUGUCUGUCUUCUUGUGCUGAGAGUUGCAGGGACAGGGCUUGUUGAGUAAUUUGUAGGUGGAGUAUGGAGUCCUGUAUUUGGGACAUCUCACCCUGGACAUCCCCCUCUGUGGCUUUCAUCUUUUCUUGUCACGUUUUUUUAAUGUUUAAUCCUUAUGCUACAAUUAUUUAAACAUGUUUUGCAAUAAAUAUACCCUCAAUAUCCCAUAAUGACAAAGCAAAGCCAGAGUUUUGACACCAUUGCAAAUAUAUUAAACAGGAAAUACUGAAAUAUCUCCAGAGACUGAAUGGGUUUGUAACAGGAACUUGGUAGACUGGCUUGGGACCAGUCUACCCUGUUUGUCUAGAAACCCUCUCUUGCCAGCUCUAGGAAGAGACCUGGUAGUUCCAAACUACUUGCAUGUAAAUAUUAACUGUUCUCUUGUGAGCCUUCAAUGCAGUCAAAAUUUUAUUUGUAAAAGUCCCCAGUUCUGUACUUCGACACCUUCAUAUCUCUGAGCAGGGCCAGCCUUAACUCAGUUAUAGGCAGACAGUCACCAAGCAUUUGCUUGGGCCUCCUGCCCCACACCCCCUUCCUGGCAUGCAGCCAAACCCUCCACUGCAAUAUAGUGGCAGAACUAAACUAGAAAGGGUACUGGUGCAAUGCUUCUUUUGGGCCCAGCUAGACAUACUGAACCACACAAACAUUGACAGACAUACUUGCACACAUACACACAGACAGACAGACAUACUGAAACAUAUACACACAAUAUUUAGACAAUACAUGCAAUAUUUAGACACAUUUCCAGGAAGUGAUAGAGAGCCUCAGUCAUUGGAGGAUACUGAAGAGCUGCAUAAACAAAGUAAUUGAACUCCUAAACAGAUGAGAAUUGAGCUGUAAGACUGCAGGGUUAUGAUCUAUACACCAAAACCACUUCAACACCUUCCUAUCUCUGAGCAGGGCCAGCCUUAACUCAGUUAUAGGCAGACAGUCACCAAGCAUUUGCUUGGGCCACCUGCCCCCCAUCCCCCUUCCUGGCAUGCAGUCACACCCUCCACUGCAAUGUAGUGGCAGAACUAAACUAGGAAGGGUACUGGUGCAAUGCUUCUUUUGGGCCCAGCUAUCGCAAGGGUGGCCAUACGGUAGAUCCCUAUCUGUCAUACAACUCCAACAAUGCUUUGACAGCUGGGCAUCUAUCAUUGUCCCAUGCUUGCAGGAUUGUACUUAGCAAUGAGCGGUAUUUGUGUGUUUGAUUGUAAGCAUGUUUUGUAUGGAGUAUGUUUGUGUGAAUGUAGUGAUGUGUUCGUAUGUGGUGCUGGCAUUUAAAUGCAAGCAUGCAUUUAUGUGUAUGCAGUGGUGUGUGUGUGUGUGUGUGUGUGUGUGUGUGUGUAUAUAUAUAUAUAUAUAUUAUAUAAUUUUGGUGUUUUUAACACAGAGGUGUGUUUGUAGUGUUAAUGUUUCAAUGCAGGAGUGUGUUUGAAUACUGAGAUUUAUGCACAUAUACACAUACAUUACCACACACACUGUGAUACACAUGCAGAUAUACAGAUACACACUGACACAGGUAUACAACCUGAAACACACAUGCAGAUACACAGACACACAAAUACAAACAAUAACAUGCAUGCAGAUACAAAAAUACACCCAAUGACUACAUAUAGAUACACAGAUAAACACAAUGAGACACAUACAGACAGAUACACAAACUGACACAUGCAGAUACAUAGACACACAGAUACAUACUGACUACAUAUAGAUACACAUACAGAUACAAACAAUGAUACACAGAUACACACGCUGAUACAUACAGAUACACACUGACCGCAUAUAGAUACACACACUGACACACAUGCCAAUACAAAGAUACACACACUGACUACAUAUAGAUACACUGAUACACAUACCGAGAACAUACAGAUACACACUGACACACAUACAGAUACACACUGACACACAUACACAGACACACUGACACACAUACACAGACACACUGACACACAUACACAGACACACUGACACACAUACACAGACACACUGACACAUACCAUACAUACCAUCACUGACACACAUGCAGAUACACAGAUAAUGACACACAGAUACACACACUGACACACACUGACCGCAUAUAGAUACACACAUACAUACAAUGAGACCAUACAAUGCAUACAGAUACACACACGCCGAUACAAAGAUACAUACACUGACUACAUAUAGAUACACACAAAAAGACAAAUACACAAUGACUGCAUAUAGAUACACACAUACACACGAGAACAUGCAGAUACACACAGACAACAUAUAGAUACGCUGACACACAGACACACGACCUGAUAUUCAUGCAGAUACACAGAUACAAACAGUGCAGCUCUUGUAGCCUAGUUGCUGGGGAAGCAGGGACUCCUUCCUGCUUUCCCCUUCUUGUGCAACAGUUACCAGGAGCUUCCGGCUCCACCUCCACUGUAAUUUUAGUCAAGCCUCCUCCACUCAGUAAGCCCCACCCCACCACCUUGCUCUUUACUUUUAUAGUUCCGGGUGGAAAAUAAUUAAUCCUCCACCCAGGUACUUGAUAUAGCUUUCCCUGCACUCCUGGGACCCGGACAUGGGUGAGCUGUGUCGGCCAAUUGCGCACUCUGCUCCUUGGUGCCCUGUGCGGCUGCACAGCUCGCACACCCCUAAAGCCGGCCCUGUCUCUGAGCUCUGCGGGCUGUUCCUUAUGGAUUGGCUUUUACUCUGUUAUGCAUUUGCAGAUGUGUGUCUUUCCAAGGCAUGUUCAAUCUAUUGAAUUUACCACAGGUGGGCUCCAAUCAAAGUGUGCAAACAGCUUAAAUAUGAUGCAGAGAAAUGGGAUGUAUCUGAGCUAAAUUUCAAGUGUCAUUCAAAGGGUCUGAAUUCUUAUAUCAAUGAAAUAUUUCGGUUUUAUCAUUUUAAUAAAUGAUUUAUUAUGGGAUAUUACAUGUAGAUCAAAGUGAAAAAGUGUAAACAAUUAAACAAGUCUACAACAUACCAAAAUGAAGUGAUCUAAAGACUUUUUGCAUGUAUGUGUUUAGUUUUUUGCUGAAGUAAUUGUGUCUGGUGAUGCCAUGGUGCAAGGGGAGCCGCUUAAUGAUAGGCUUCUCAAGGAGUGUAUUGCCCAUCUGACCUCAUCUAUCUCGGGCAUCUACGAAGUUUCUCAUUGUGAAAUGGGCUCGGGUUGUACUUUCUGCUACUUUUUUCCAGUGCCCUGAGUGGUAUAGUUAUAUGUUUUAGUCCAGUCUGCUUUCCUAAUCGCUCGCUGUACUAUUGGUCCAGGGGCCUCAUAUAUUAUCAAAUUUCUUCUUUGUCCCUCUGACCCGUGCUGUCAAUUUGUCCAUUAGGAAAGUAUCUUUUAUUUUUUGUUUUACCAUCGCUAUUGUCCCUCUGUAGCCAUACCUGUGCUAGGGCUCUUUGUGCGGCUAGGUUUACUUUUUAUAUGAGGUUUUGUUCCAUUCAUGUCCAGUCAUCCAUAGACCUGGAAAGUAGAAACACCCACGGGUCUAGCUUCACCUCCCUGCCGAACACCUCUCUCAGCAAUUCUGCGAUCCGUUUCCAGAAGGUCUGCACCUUUGGGCAUUUCCACCACAUACGAAUAUACGUGCCCUUAUGUCCGCAGCCCCUCCAGCACAAGUCUGUCGGGCUUUUGCGCAUUUGGCACAACAUCACUGGGGUGGUAUACCACCAAAACAAAGUCUUAUAUGAUUGUUCCUGCAAGGAGACACACACUGAAGAUAUUGCAGCAGCCUCCCACAUUUCCUGCCAUUCUAUGCACUCCAGUACCUCAUUCAAAUCUGCUUACCAUUGGUCUAUAUACUUGAUAUCACCCCAUUCUAGUGUAUGAGUACUCAGCUGAGAAUAUAGACUGGAGAUUAGGCCGCUCGGGAAUUGUUCCCUCAUGCACAUUCGUUCGAAAAACGUUAAUUGUGUCAGCACAACUGUUUUGAUCCGAGUAUCUCGGGCAUAGUCCCUAAGCUGAAGGUAACGGAAAUAGUCGAAAGGUCUUAACGAGGCCCUACUUUUCAGUUCAUCCAAUGUUACAAAGGAGCCAUUUUCAAACAGUUGAUAUAGUCUCUGCAAUCCUGUGUUUUCAAGUCCCUUAAAAUCCCUAGCUUGCAUGCCAAGGAGAAAAUCUCUGUUUCUCAAGAAUGGGGUCAUUGGUGACAGGACAGAUGUCAGGCUAUAUUUGAGGGCGGUUGCAUCCCAGACCCAGAGGGAAGUUUCUAUCGCCUGGCAUGUUACCUGGUGUAGCGGUUUAUGUUUUCCAGGGAUCCACAUAAAGAACUGGGGUAUAUCCGGGCCCAUCAAGGAGGACUCCAAAUCCACCCACCUCCUCUAAUCAGGAGGUGUAUACCAUAGAGCUAUUUGGGAUAGCUGGGCCGCCACAUAAUAAUAGUAGAGGUUUGGUAUUCCCAGACCUCCCCUAUCCUUACCCCUAUAAAGUAUAUUACGGGUGAUCCUAUGUUUCUUAUUCUGCCAGAUAAACUUGCUGAUAGCCUGCUAAAGUGUUCCCAAGUUAGAUUUAGUCAAGUGGAUCGGAAGAGCUUGGAAGAGGAAUAGUAUCCUAGGUAGCACAUAAAUGUAUUCUUCUGAUCCACGAUAUUGGUUUAUCUACCCAUGUCUCCAUGUCAUGUAUUAGUUGUCUAAUUAGUGGGACGUAAUUCUGUUGAUGCAAAUACAUAUGCCUAAGUAUUUGAUGUGAUCUUUUGCUAUGUGUAUGUGAUAGGUCUUCUCUAUCUAUGCCGCGUCUUCGUCUCUCAUACCUAUGGGGAGUGCGCUCGAUUUGUGUAAGUUGACCUUGUAUCUACCCACCUUACCAUAUUCCACUAGUAUUCCUGUCAGUGCCGCCAUUGAUUCCUUUUGGGUCCGUCAAUGUCAAUAAUAUAUCAUCAGCGAAUCCCGAUAUAAUGUAUUGCUGUCCCGUUGCGCAUAUUGUUUGCAUGAGGGAUUCUAGUGAUAGAACAAACAGCAAUGGCGAAAGAGGGCAGCCCUGUUUCUUGUAGUUACUCAGAUGGAAUGGAAUAGAUCAUGCUCCCGUUAUCCGGAUCUGCACCCUGACGUUAGAGUAUAGGGCUUUAACUGUGGUUAUAAACUGGGCGGGCAUGCUGAAGUGUUUUAAUAUCGCGAACAGAUACGGCCAUUUAACUCUGUCAAACGCCUUUUCGGCAUCUAGUGACCAUAUCAUUGUCGGAUUGUUCAUCUUAGUUUGUCUCCCUAAAAGAUCUAUAUUGCGUCUCAUAUUCUCGAACAGUUGCCUACCCGGACUAGUAAGAAUAGGGUUCAGUCUGCUCGCUAACACUUUUGCUAAGAUUUUGGAAUCGUGUUUAAUUAAAGAGAUUGGGUGAAAAUUCUCUGGGAUUUAGUCAUCCUUGCCAGAUUUAGGCAAUAAGACUAUAUUCGCUAGUGACAUGUCUCUAUCUGGGAUCACCCCAUCCCUAAGGUUAUUAAACCACGGUUCGAGGUGGGGUAGGAGCUCCUCUCUAAAUAUCUUGUAGUAGCUUCCUUCGAAGACAUCUGGGCCAGGUGCCUUAUUGCUUUUCAAGGCCGAAAUUGCUGCAUCUAUUUCCUCUACUGGGAUCUGAUUACCUAGAGCUGCGGAGUCCGCCUCAUCUAGUUUGGGGAGUUAUAUCCGAGAGAGGAAUUCUCGUAUCCCAUCCAUUUCCUGUUGUGGGUUCGCAGCUUCACCUGUCGAGUGGUGAUAUAGUUUGGUGUAAAAAUCCGUAAAAACCCCAUCUCCGUUGGGUUAGUCUGAUAGUCUCCUACAUUAUUCUUGAUUUUUGUGAUAUGUGUGUUCUGUUGCCGUGGUCUAAGGGAUCUUGCCAACAGGGUAUCCGUUUUGUUGGCCUUUUCAUAAAGGCCUGACUGUUGUAUGAAAGUGUGUAAUAGUUUGUCUUGUGGGACUGUGGGGCUCCUCUACAGGGCCCCCUAUCUACUGCCGGGGACGGAGCCGUGUUGAAAUCUGCCCCCACUAUCACCAUUCCGUGAGGGAGCGUAUUGACAGUGUGAGUGAAUUCCGCCCAAAUUUCUCUGGAUGGGUCAUUUGGUGCGUAUAGAUUGAGAAUGUGGAUAACGUGUGAAUAUAAGAUUCCUGACACUAGCACAAAGUGCCCCCCUGGAUCCAUGCUAACCUUGCUGACCCUAAUCGGGCAAAAUUUGCAAACAAAUGUGGAUAGGGAAAUCACUUAAAAAAAUAACAUAAAAUUAGCAGCCGCCCCCCAAUCCUCUGAUCAAUGUUGGAGAUGCCAUCGCGCCUCAGGCACAGCAUCACACAUCUGGUGGUCCUGCCCAGAAAUACAAACCUACCUACAGGAGGCGCAUUUCUAGCUUCAUACAGACGAUACUGGGGGAAAAACUGACCCAAACCCCAGAUUAUUUCAUCUUCCUUCUUCCACCACCAAACUUUCCCAAAGAAAAAACUCAACUACUCCUACAUUUGAUAACAUCGGCAAAGCAAUUGAUCCCUAUAUACUGGAAAAAAUCAAACCAGCCGCUCAUAAGAGAUUGGAUCCAAAGAAUGGAAACCACUAGGAAUAUGGAGGAAAUUUGCUACUCCCUCUCAGACAGAUACCACUUUUACACAUCUAUCUGGUCCUGGUGGUGCACGUACCUUCAGCAUUCCCCAUGAAGGGGGAUCCCACACGCAUCCUUGGGCAAGACGCAAUAGCAUGGGCAAGCUAACCGAAGGGGAAAACGUCAAACAUACACUUCAUACUAUUCUAUCAGGGUUAUCUUUGUUCUUUGUUUUUGUAUUUACUUAAACACAUCUUGUUUCACAAACCAUACAGACAAUUUUUAUCAACAAAUUCUUGUUUUCUAUGUAUUUGACUCAUACAGAUAAUUGUUACUUCUCAAUAUUCUAUGUAUACAAAACAGUGAUAUCUGUACCAUGACUUUAUGCAAAUAAAAAAAUAAGCAGCCGCUUAGUAGAUAACUCCCUAAUACAGUAUUAGGGAGCUAUCUACCAAAAGGCUGAAAGACCUAAAUUGGUCACCUAAACCGGUCUUUCAGCCACAUUUACUAAUACUAAGUAAAGAUUACUUAGUCUUAGUAAAUUCAGACCCUACUCGCUAUACCGUGUGUAGGAGCGUGUCUAGUAAACAGUGAGCAGCCAGUGGCUGCUCACUGUAAAAAACAAAAAACAAAAAACCUAUUGCCCUAAAUAACAAUAAGGGGGGGAACCUACUUUCCUCCCCCCAGGCCCCCACUCCUGUGCGGUGGGUGGGGGCCAUAAAUAACAAUAAGGGGGGACCUAAUGUCCUCCCCCCUGGCCCCCACCCCUGUGUGGCGGGUGGGGGCCCUAAAUAACAAUAAGGGGGGAACCUAAUGUCCACCCCUGCACGGCCGUUGGGGGCCCUAAAUAACAAUAAGGGGGGUAACUAAUGUCCUCCCCCCGCCCCCCACCCCUGAGCGGUGGGUGGGGGCCAUAAAUAAAAAUUGGGUAGGGACCUAAUGUCCUCUCCCCCAGCCCACACCCCUGCGCGGCGGGUGGAGGCCCUAAAUAACAAUAAGGUGUGGGUACCUAAGGUGAGACUGUUCCUACUAAUUCCAUUUUUAAACUCAUUUUUUUACCAUCUGACUUUUAUUUUGAAUAUUUGGACGAACUCUAUUUUCCUCCAUUAUCCUUAUCCAUAUUAUUAUUAUUAUUAUUAUACCCAGGUUUUAUCACUUGUUGAUUAUACAUUUUAAUUUAUUGGUUUUUAUUUCAUAGUCCUCUGAUCUUAAAGCGCAGCCCUUAACUCCUCUGUUCUUUUCCACCUAAGGUCCUCCCCUUGCGUGGCCGGUGGGGGGGCCCUAAAUAACAAUAAAGGGGGACCUAAUGUCCUCCACCCCGGCCCCCACCCCUGAGUGGUGGGUGGGGGCAAUAAAUAAAAAUCCCCCCCCCCCAGGUGACCCCUAGUUUGAAUGUAAGGUUCCUGACACCCCUCCCAAACAAAACCCUAACCCCUACCUACCCCCUACCCCUUCACCCAUGGAGGGCUCCACACAGACUGAGCUCUGCAGGGCGGGGGAAGGCUUAUAAAGGGGUGCAGGGGUGGGGGCUGGGUGGGAGGACAUUUGGCCCCCCCAUUUUCUAUUUAUGGCCCCCACCGCUCAGGGAUGGGGGCCGGGGUGGGAGGACAGUAGGUUCCCCCUCUUAUUGUUAUUUAGGGACCCCACCGGCCGUGCAGGGGUGGGGACCGGAGGGGAGGACCAUUAGGGACCCCCCCGCCAUGCAGGGGUGGGGACCGGGGGAAGGACAUUUGUUGUCCCCCUCCCUUUUUUAUUUAUGGCCCCCACCCACCGCUCAGGGGUGGGGGCCGGGGAGGAGGACAGUAGGUCCCCCCCCUUAUUGUUAUUUAGUGCCCCCACUUGCUGUGCACGGGUGGGGGCUGGGGGGGAGGACAUUAGGUCCCCCCCAAAUUUUUAUUUAUGGCCUCCACCCACUGCUCAGGGGUGGGGGCUGGGGGGAGGACAUUAGGUCUACCCCCCCUAUUGUUAUUUAGGGCCCCCACUCACCGCACAGUGGUGGUGGCCAGGGGAAGGACAAUAGGUCACCCCUUAUAGUUAUUUAGGGCGGGUGGGGGCAAAGAGGGAGGACAUUCGGUCCCCCCCCAAUUUUUAUUUAUGGCCCCCACCCACUGCUCAGGGCUGGGGGCCGGGUGGGAGGACAUUAGGUCUACCCCCCUAUUGUUAUUUAGUGUCCCCAUGUCUCCCAUUGUCUAUGUCCCCACUUCUCUCAUUGUCCCUAGUGUUUGUUUCCCCAAGUGUAUCAGUGUCCCCAAAUGUAUCAGUGCCCCCAUGUCUUCCAGUGUCCCCAUAUCUGUAUCCACAAGUGCCCCCAUGUCUCCCAGUGUCCCCAAGUGUCUGUGUCCCCAGGUCUCUCAAUGUCCCCUAAUAUCCUAGUGACAUGGGAACACACUGUGACAUGGGGACACUUGGAGAAAUGGGGACACUGUGACACUGGGAGACUAGGGUACUGGCGACAUUGGGACACUGACACUGUGAUACAUAGGGACACUGAGACACUGGGUGACUUGGGAGACUGAGAGCAAUCCAUCUAUACAGCAGAAUCAAACUGUAAGUAGUUUGUUGGUGAUUUUACAGAAUUUUCUCUUAUGUCACUCUUUGAGAUUUACAUCAUGUGAUGUCACGCAUACAUACUUAAUUAUACAAAUGAUUAAGGCCGGUACUUUUUUCCAGGAAAGGUGGCAACCCUAACUACUCUUCACAUACUCUGGCUUAAUGGACCACUAUAGGGUCAGGAACACAAUCCUGUAUUUCUGACUCUAUUAUGUUAAAACCACCAUCUAGCCCCCCUGGUCCCCUUGCCUCCCUAAAUAUGGUAAAAUCUUACUUGUAUUCAAGUCUGCAGCUGCUGGCUCUGCCUCUGAACUGACUCUGUCUACUGACAUCAGAAGUGGUGGUCUGAGCCAAUUACAAUGCUUCCCCAUAGGAUUGGCAGUGACUGUCAAGGAGGCAGAUCAGGGACAGAGCCAGCACAAGUCAAACACAGCCCUGGCCAAUCAGCAUCUCCUCAUAGAGAUGCAUUGAAUCAAUGUAUCUCUACCAGGAAAGUUCAAUGUCUCCAUGCAGAGAGUAGAGACACUGAAUGGCAGUGCAGCACACUAGGCAGUACUGCCCCAGGAAGCACCUCUAGCAGCCAUCUAAGUAGUGACCAGUGAAGUUAUCACUAGGCUGUAAUGUAAACAAUGCAUUUUCUCUGAAAAUACAGUGUUUACUGCAAAAAGCCUGAAGGGAAUGAUUCUACUCACAUGAACAAAUACAAUAAGCUGUAGUUGUUCUGGUGACUAUAGUGUCCCUUUAAGUAUGGAAGCUUAAGAGGGAUGUAUGGGAACAAAACUUGUGUGGACUGGCUGACAAUAACAUUAGUUAAGGCAGACUUUAGUCUCUCUAACACUGUGGCAUGUCCUCUUUCUUCUACACUCACUUCCAACAUCUUUUCUCUGUCCCAGACUAUAUACCAGGAGCUUCUGCCUGCUAGUAAGACGGUGAGGAGACAAGUGGACAUGUGAGUGCUAGGGGACAGUCCUUAGAAAGCAUGGAGUAUAAGGUACGAACCGCACUACACAAUGUAUUCUUAUACUCGAUUGUGCCAUGUAUGUACUAUGCUAUACAGCUAUUCCCACCAGAAUGUAUUGCAACGACAUGCCAAAAAAAAAAAAAUAAAAAAAAAAAAAAUAGAAAGCAUGGAGUAUGCUCAUCAUUUGAUGCCUUUAUGUCAAGCUCAGGGUGCUGUCUACAUAGUUUGCCCUUAGUUGGACAGCCUGCAUGAUUGGCAGGCAGCCUGACAUGCAUUCAUGCCAGACUGGCCUUCCAAUUCUUUGGACAGACUUGCCCCCUUUUUGGGCAUGUUUGCCCCUUUUGGCAGAUCUGGUCACGUGAUUCGCAUCAGUGGCACAUCCUUUUACCAUGCCCAUUGACUUCCUGUUUCACUGGACACUGCUGUUGGGGGGGUAUAGAUGUACAUGAAAGAUGAAAGCAUAAAUUAGAGAGAGAUUAGCAUAGGGUAUGUGUUUUCUUAUAGCUGCAUCCUUUGAGUUUCCCUCCAACACCAUCUCCAUCAGCUACAUGAUGCUUGGGAGGUAUGAUUGUUUUAGGUCUUUAAGAUUUUGUAAUUAGGCCCAUCAUAAUUGUCAGCACCAGGCCCACUGGGCUCUUAAUCUGGCCCUGCCUAUGGCCAGGCAUGAUUGGGGUGACUGUCUCGUCUCCCCCAGUACUUCAAAAGAGCCCUGGGGUGUUGGGGACAUGGACCAGCCAAUAAGGGCACUACCUGAGUGCCAACUGAAACUAUGUAAAGAAACACUGUAACCUAUGCAUCUAUAUCUAGCAAGGAAAGCAGUGGGAACAUCCCUGCAGAGUGUGGAGAGGUAUGCAAUACAAGCACCAGUUACCUACAGCUAUUUGCCGUACGCUACAGAUUGUUGUUGUUUUUUUUUUUUUUUGUAAAAAAAAAAAUGGGUAAAUCAUUUUUUUUUUCUCUAAAAUAAACUGUGCAAACAGCAACUUUGUGCUUGCAGCACGCAAGAAUAAUAGUCUCAGGUAACGUCCAUGAGCAGGGUCUGUCAUCCAGCCAUGCGCCGGGGCAAUCCCGAAUACUAGACCCACUGUUGGGCUAAUAAUAUAACUGCUGAACCUAGUCAUAUAUCACGGUGCGGUCCAAUUGUAAUUCAACAUGCAUGUAUACAAUUAGUUAUUCAAGUGGGCGAAUACACCCGGAAGGGAGGGUUGCACUAGACAGCCCCGCUCACGGCACAUAAUCUUCCUGAUGCCCCCAGAAGGAUCCAUCAUCUCACAGAGGCCUCCUAUUGCGCUGGGACCGGACCCGGGUCCCGCCUCCCUCCCCCCUCUGAAACCAGAAGAGAAGCUGAACCCGAAGGCUCGGACCCGCCGCCCCAGCCAUCCAUCUCCCCCCUACCCCCCGGCAAGGGUUGUCCCCCAGCAGAGAACAUGCCGGCUAAUCAGCAGAGUACCUCUAUGGGUGUGUGGACGCCAGAAUGAAGCCAGGCCACGGAGAGCAACACAGUCGCUCCCGCCAGCGGCGACAGUCAUACACUCCCAUUAGCCCCCUAUCCCGCCGAAUCCCCAAAUAAACAACCAUGAAUUUAAAAAUUCAGGUAAAAAACAUAACAUAAUGCUAUUCUUUACUGUACACAUGAAGGGAGGAAUCCGAGUCAGCAUUUACCUCCCUAUCCCCUAAAUAGGGGAGUCGCCGAAAGCUUCAUACCGAGGGAUCCCCACAUCCCGCAUAUAUGACAAAAGAGGGAUGUUGCAGUACCCAUGGACCCCGACCUUUCCUCUUCCCUCAAACAUCACAACCCAAACUAAACAGCAGCACAUCACAAACCUAGCCCGCCCAAAAUGGGGUGAAGUUCCCCUGGAUCCCCCAUCCCGUUAUUACCUGAGAUCAUCCCUUACAGUCUCCCUCAGCCGUACCUGAUCAACCUGCCCUGUAGUGAUCCCCCCCGGGUGGGUCUGGGCCCCCGAAAUCAGCCCUCCCAAUAUCUGCUUACAUACCAGCCCCUAUAGCCGUUCCGAUCAGGGUCACCUCACCGCCAGCCGCAGGCAAAACCUGGGCCAGCUGAUCUCCAUGGGCCUGAUUCUCCUGCUGUACACCAGUCACGAAGGAGGGGACAGAGCUCCUCUACUGUCUGGGGAAGUGCCACCAUCUUGAUUGGAUCUUGGAUCCCCAGGCCCCGCAGGAGCUCUGCAGGGUCGCCGUCUGCGUACUGGGUUUUAGUACGCACAUCCUGAAACGCUAGUAGCCGAAAGGGGAAGCCCCACGCGUACCUCACCCUGUGCUUCUGCAGGAGUUCCGUCACCGCACGCCACAAUCUCCGCUUCUGAAGGGUCACAGGUGUUAAAUCAUGAAAUAAUGUAAGUUCCACUUCACCAUAUUUAAUUGGGCUCUCUCGGCUGCGCUUCAUGAGGGCUUCCUUCGUCUAGAAGAAUAGGAACUUAAGAAUAAUGUCCCUAGGGCGCUUAUCCUCUGCCUGUUUGCGCCGGAGCGCUCUAUGAACUCUCUCAAUGUGCCACUGGUGUUCCGACACCCCAGGGAGCAGUGGCUUUAGGAUUGCAGUCACCUCCUCCGUCAGCGACCCCUCUCCCUCCAGCACGGGCAGGCCCCGAAGCCUAACGUUAUUCCGCCGGGAUCUAUUGCCCAUGUCAUCCAGGGCGGACUCCACCAUCGUCCGUCUGGAUGAUAGCGUGUUACUAUGUGCUGUAGCAGUAUUGUGAGCCACCACCGUUGACUCCACCCGCUGUUCAAGCACCGCCGUCCUCGUGCCCAAGGCCUGGAUUUCCGCCUUAACUUCAUUGGUGUUUCUCGUGAUCUCGGUAGCCAGGUAACAACAUACCUCAGCCAAAUUUGCCAAGAUCUGUGCCGUGUUAGCCUCAGAAGCCUCCGAUGUUGCUUCCAUGCCUGGGCUGAGAGGUGAGCGCGGCGCCAACGGGCUCUCCCGUCCGCCAUCUUGAUUGCUCAAUCGCAUGGCGUGAGAUGCCGCGAACAUGUUGGACACCAUAGUGCCCUGUUCUGCUGGCUUUUUAGGCUGUUUCUUCGGUGCAAGGCUCCCCUGUGAAUUUUCUUGUUCAGGUCAGUGUUUAAUCGCUGUAGUUAGCUAUUGGCCUCAUGGUCCUAGCGGAGCUUCACUUGGACACGUCCAUCUUGCUCCGGCUGCAGACCAUGCCACACAGAAGGCUUUUGAAGACUUUAGCAAGCUAUUAACAAAGCAGGAGACAUUCUAAAUUAGAUUGUGUAAUAAGGGUAGCAAAAAUAUUUAGACACAUUUCCAGGAAGUGAUAGAGAGGCUGAAUGAGCCUCAGACAUUAGAGGAUUGUGAAGGGCUGCCUUAACAAAGUAACUGAACUCCUAAACAGAUGAAAAUUGAGCUGCAAGACUGCAGGGUUAUGAUCUAUACACCAAAACCACUUAAUUAAGCUAAAAUGUUUGUGCUUAACAUGCGGCUUUAAUAUAUUUAGGCGGUUGGAGCUAAAUGAUAAAAAAUAAAUAAAGAUGAUGCACAAAAUUUAAGAGAAAUGUAUAAAUACCUAAAAGCAAAAUUGACAGACAUAGUGCAUGCUGUAUAAUAGUAUAAAUGUAAAAGUAUAUAGGAAUAUCACUCACAAGACGAGAGUAGAUAUAGUACCACUCAUGAUUAUUUUGACCAUGGAUGAUCAGCCCCUUGUGUGCGAUGAAUCGCCAAUAACAACACUUCACCACCAGACCAGAAUUUUUACUUCUUUUUAGUUAACAAACAAAUUAAAAACAGCAGUGCUAGGGAUGUCUGCAGGUAAAAAGUUCAUAGAGGAUACUGUAAAAGUCCUUGGUUUCAGUGUCCUUGUAAUCCAGCAUAAAAUAAAAGUUCCUCGCUUGUUUCUUCAUUCACGCACUCCGGCAUGUGACACGGUGGGUAUCGUCCCAUCCCGCAAGGCCUUUUCAAGCUUCAAGAUAUACUUCAAGAUACGGCAUGCAGUAUAUAGGGAUAAAUAUAUAGGUUAGGGAACACCAAUCCAGAGUCCUUGCAGUUGUAGAGUAUUUCAGGACUGUGAAGUUCCCCACAACAAUGGGUAUUCACUAAUGUUUAAAAUUAAUUCAAAGAGAAUUUCAAUUUUAAAGUCAAAAUAGAUGAACUGGAAAAAAAUCUCUAAGUCAGCUUUACUUUCAUUUUGGCUACUCUGGCUUCAAAUAAUACUUACAACCCUGUAUAAGGUAUUAGUGAGGAGGCCCCCCCAUCUUUAAAAUGGAAAAAUAAUAAUUACAAUAAACUUAACUAAAAUCCAGUGCCGGGCAUAGUUUAGAGUGAAGGAAUCGAUCACACAGUUUCAUGGGCUUGGAGCGCAUGCACACAUACACCGACAGAGGUUGAGAGGGAGUGGGAGAGGGAGGUGGGGAUUUUUAAUUAAAAAAAACAAAAAACGAUUUUAGCAAAGGAGGGAGGUGGCAGGGAGUGCACAGAGAGAGGGGAGAUUAAGGGUUCUCCGUGCAGGCAGCGUGCUGUGCGCACUGAUGACAGACGUAAUUUUUGCACAUAGUGCAUGAGUUUUUUUCUUUAUUUUCAAUCCAUCUUUAGAAUAGGUAUAACAAAAUAAAAAUCAGUGACAUAGUAGAAGACAGUUAUUGUACAUUGCAUAGUGAAUUUAACAGAAUUGAGUUUUUAACGUUUAAAUGUAUAGGAAACUGUAGUUAAUAUAGCAAGCUAGAACUAAGCCUGCCACCCCUGAAAGAGAUACUCAAUAUCAUAUUCGUAAGUUACAUAGGGGUAACUUAAUAUAAAAUGUAAUUAUCAUCGAAUUAAAGUGAGCAAGAGGCUUUCACCCACUAUGCUGAGUGUAAAAAGCAUGUCACAACCAAGCUUGGUAGCCGAUGGGAGAGGGAGAAUAAGGGACACAAGAUCCCCUAUGCCAUCUGGAGGUGAAUGGAUAGGAUGUAUCUCUAAGGACCACUGUUGUAGUUAAAGUUAUGCAGUGGAGGCGAUCAGAUAGACAUAGACACUGAACUACAUAAGAAUCAAAUUAAGUAAAAACAAUAAUAAAAACAAUUAGUGGUUACAGGACAGAGAGGGUGGUCAAGGGAUCUCUGCGGAAGCAGGAUUUCCACAAAUGGGUGCACUGUGGUCAGUUCCCAGGUGUUUGGCUGCUUAGAUUGUGCUGGUGGUUGCGGCCCCAUGUCCACAGGUGGGAACACAUGCUAUUGUAUGGUGGAAGCCAUUUCAGAGGCUCAAGAGGCAUCUCGGUGCCCCCCAUAAUAAGGGAUCUUGUGUUUGGCAAGCACAGUUGUCAAGGGUCCCAAGGACCUACACCAGUCCAUGGUGGCUUGAGAGAUGUCAGGGAAGAACAUUAGUGAAUGCUCCUCAAAGUGGUAUGGAAAUUUGGUGCGGACCGCAGACAUGAAGGCUUAUCUGUCCGGGCCUUGCUGGAAUCGAGCUAUAACCUCUGCUAGAUCAUGUGGAGGGAGCCUGUGAUGAAGGCAGCCUGUAGCAACCAUCCAGAGCCAUAACUUUUGCUUGUUUAGGGGAGAAUAAGCUUCUAAGCAGUCGAACAAGAUGGGGUAUUUCAGCUGCGGUAACACUCUCAGCUAAGCCCUGGAUUUUUACUUUCUUCCAGCGUCUGCAAUUCUCCAUAGGACCUCCAAUGCCAUGUAGUGCUGUGUCUGGAGCAGAUCCUGAAUGAGUGUAGCCAACUCCCUUUCCAGGCCAGUAAUGCAAGCCUCGUGGGCUGUGGUGUUAACUUCCCAUUUAUUUUCUCUUUAAACGGGGUGAUAUCUGCCGCAAUAUUAUCACAAAGGUCUGCCAAGAGGGCCUUUAAUGUACCCUCCGUAACCGGGGAACUCCCUGUCUGUACUAGUAGCGGGUCUAUCCUCUGCCUCCCUGCUGGUAACUCCAGGUCUCUCAGAUCUACGAGGGACUCUUCACUGGACGUCCUGGAAAGGCCGGGUCGUUGGAGUAAUACUUUAAAUUCAAUUUGAAUUGUCACUUUAGUAAAUAACUCUGAAUGUGUUUUUCAAAUGUAUGUGUGAAAUAUACUGGUAAUAUGGCCUACUUCAUAAUGAAAUGUCCAUGCAAAAACAACCACAAAUACUUAAAAAACUAAAGGAUGAAAGCGUACAACAUAAAAGGCAUUUGGUGCUGCUAUUCUGCCUUAAAUGUUUACCCAGUAAAUCAAUCUAUCAAAAAUGCAGGUUUAAAUUCUGAAACUACCUAGGCCUAAGUUAAAUUUGCCUGUUAAUUUUUGUGUAUGUACAGAGAAAACAUACCAAAAGCAAGUACAGACAUUUAGAAAAUGCAAGUUUUGUUAUUUGGUACUGCCUACACAGUGCCUUCUUGUCUAUAUGUGAUGGCAACACUGCCAGUUUUUUGCUCUGCAUAAUAUUAGUGGAUAAUAAAAUUUGUGUGUAUGUAUGUAUGUAUGUAUGUAUGUGUAUAUGUGUGUGUGUAUAUAUAUAUAUAUAUAUAUAUAUAUAUAUAUAUAUAUAUAUAUAUUUUGUUAAACAUGUUUCUAUAUUAUAUUGCACCUUAAUAAAAUGUCUUAAUAAAAGGAUUGCAUAGGCUGUGAAGGUGUGCUGGACCAUAUAUGUUUUUGUGCUUACUCUUUACUAGAUUAUGGAUCGUGUCUGGAGCUGGAGCACUGGGCGAGCGGCUAUUUAGCCACCCCUCAGAGCAGCUGCUUCAUCUGCUAGGCUCCCUCCAUGUCACGGAGAGCCCUGUCGUUUCCUGUGUUGGGCUCCCUCACUGUAAGCUCAGCUCCUGAGCUGAUACAUCCUGCAGGCAGGGGAAGCCGGUGUUCUAUCAAAAAACCCUACCCCGUGAAAAUUCCCUACCCUCGUCACUUCCGAUGACGCGGCCGCACCGCACCGCAAGUGACUAAAACAAAAUAUAAGUGGAGCUCUGGUUUACCUGUAUAAAUAGUGGUAUGAUACAGAUGGACAAAGAUACUUUCACAAUAAUCUGUAAAUAGGUAACAAUAAAUCUUAGUGCAGACGGUAGUUACAAUAUAAGUAUAAAAAGAUGAAUAGUAAAUGGGUAACUCACAAAAAAAGAGCCAAUAACACACUUGGCUCUAGUGGUAAAUGCUUCUGGAUCUUCUUAGGGGAGAUCCACCACCCUCUUUUGAUUGCCUCCUGAUGUCCUCCACCUUAGAUUCAAGUAUGGGUAGAGUGGAUAGAAUGGCAAACUCCAAAUAGUAAUGUGGACAAAAUUUAUUAUAUUAAAAAAUAAACAGAUAAAAUAAAUUCAAAUUGAAAGAAUUAUUUCAUAAAAGUACAUAAAAUGGUUUGGAUUGGAACCAUUUUAUGUACUUUUAUGAAAUAAUUCUUUCAAUUUGAAUUUAUUUUAUCUGUUUAUUUUUUAAUAUAAUUUUGUCCACACUACUAUUUGGAGUUUGCCAUCUACCCAUACUUGAAUCUAAGGUGGAGGAGGCAAUCAAAAGAGGGUGGUGGAUCUCCCCUAAGAAGAUCCAGAGGCAUUUACCACUAGAGCCAAGUGUGUUAUUGGCUCUUUUUUUGUGAGUUACCCAUUUACUAUUCAUCUUUUUAUACUUAUAUUGUAACUACCGUCUGCACUAAGAUUUAUUGUUACCUAUUUACAGAUUAUUGUGAAAGUAUCUUUGUCCAUCUGUAUCAUACCACUAUUUAUACAGGUAAACCAGAGCUCCACUUAUAUUUUGUUUUAUUUGCAUGUUCUGUGUUGUGAAGGUUAAGGGAUUCCUUCACUUAAGUGUUAGAGCCUGCUUUUCACCUUGCUGGUUUUGUGUGCACCACUUUAUUUUAUAUACAUAGCACCGCAAGUGACGUUCAUCCAAUGGAGGAGCAGGCGUACAACCUCCAGGUAGGGAAAUUUCACAGUUAGAGCUGGGGAGAAGGGGGUACCUAUUGCGCAUGCACCAUACCUGCCAGCUGGCCGCCGGAUGUCACUGCGCAUGUGCAGGGAGCCUCACCAGGGGAUACAGGGUAGGAGAAAAUAACGUCACAGUGCGCAUGUGCGGCACAGUACUCCCAUCGGAGGUACAAAGCGCGUGCGCAGUAUAGGGGUUGGGAAACUUGAUGGCCAUUUGUCCUGUGAAAUCUCCCUACCCCUAUACUGUGCACGCGCGGACUCAGAUCAUCGGAUUAAAUCCUGUCUGGAAACAGGUCAGUCUCUCACUGCUCUCAACACUCUCAGCCAUCCAAGGGGAGGGUGCAGUAUAUUGGGGGGGUUUCUGUACAUUAUAUUGGGGAAUGGGGGUUUCCGUGCAUUAUAUUGGGGAGUGGGGGGUUUCUGUACAUUAUAUUUGGGAGGGGGGUUUCUGUACAUUAUAUUGGGGGGUCUGCGCAGUUUAUGGGGGGGCUGUCUGUGCAGUAUAUUGGGGGGUCUGUUAAGUAUAUUGGGGUGGCCUGUGUGUUAGAUGGGGGGGCUGUGCGUUAGAUGUGGGGGGGCAGUGUAUUAUAUUUGGGGGAUGUGCAUUAGAUGGGGAGCUGUACAGUACGUGUGGCCUGUGUGUUAGAUGUUUACAACCCUAGUUUCACAAUAAAAUAUUUAUUUCCUAGAUAUCAUAUGCCAUGGCAUGCUUUUUGCUACAAAACCAAAGCCAUCUAGUCACUCAUCAGAGAAGGAUGAGAAACUGCACCCCAGCCAGAAGGACUGCCCCACAUCUGCAACCAAAUCCGUUGGUCACCGAAUUCAGUCAUCUCUGUCUCUUUGUCCAUUCUGUAUGUAUAGUACUCCCAAUUCUUAUAUUUAAUCCGGUGUGGCUCCCACAAUCUUUGUGUUUGUCUGCUGUAUGUAUGUGGCACGCAAGUCUGCAUGCACUUUGUCUGUUAUGCCAGUUACUCUAACCAGUUUUUUAUUUGUUUUUGUGUGUGUCACAACUCUGACAAGCAUGUUCUCCUAUGGGACACGAAGUAUAUGAAGUGGAAUGAAGAAGCCCAUGUUUGAGGCCCGCGUCCAGAGUGGUGUAUUGAAUUUAUAAGUAAUGAAGUGGCAUUUGACUCGUGACAAGCUACUCCUGUUUGCACAUUGACUUCAACAUUGUGUACUGUGAUCAUGGCCUAGUUCAGUGGUAGGUAACCUUGGGAAGUCCAGAGGCUGUGAAUUACAUCUCCCAUAAUGCUGGCAAAGCAUUAUGGGAGGUGUAGUCCAAAACAUCUGGAAUACCGAAUGCGUAUGAAUGAAAAGUAUGGUGUGUGUGUAUGGUCAGUAAAAAGGGUUGAAGCCUUGACGUGGCGUUACUGCUCACAUGUGUAUCCAUGUGCCAAUUCAACCAAUGUGAGUGACGGUAAUACUUAUGAAGUAACCAUAAAUACCGUGACUAUGGAGACUUAAACGCCUGUGUCACCCAAACACAGCUUAUACUGUGACCGUAUCUCCUAAACACUGCUUAUUGUUACUGUGAUACAGUCACAGUGUAAGAUCAAGUUUUAUAGAUUGGUGAGGGAGUCUGUUUAAAGCAUUAGACACUAAGUGCAUUAUUUGUUUUUUAGAUCUGGUGUCCCAUUUCGGGAUGGAGCACAUCACUCUGUUUAACAAGAGGAUCUUUGUGUAUUAUCACCGACUGGCAGCUCUUCCGAAAUCCACCAGGUUCUUAAAACAUAAGUCUCUGUUGCAUUAUACCCAAUUCUGAGACUUCUAAUGAUCCCUAAAGCACUUAAUCUUUUGAGGACAUUAUAUUUAAUUUAUUUUGCAUCUCUAAGACCUCAGGCAGUCACUGUUCCACUUGUAGUCCAGGUGCCAUGGAGGGCAGGUGAAGGUAGUUUUUACUUGACUUAAAAUGUCCUUUGCAUGCAGCUUUCACAAGGUCUUCUUCAGCUCCUGGCAUUUCAUUUGCCAGGAGCCAACGGAAGCAAUCUACUCACGUGCAUGCAUAAGUGUACCUUAGGUAGCUCUGCCUUUUGUCAAGAGUAGGAAAAAUACUUAAUAUAAAAGUUGUUCCGAUUUUGUCUUAUUUUGUGGGGGUCAUGGAAAUGCUGUAAGUCUAAAUUUAAAGUGCUCUAUCAUUCUUUUUAUUCUACGCCUCCAAUCCUCAACAUGGUAAUUGUAUUUUCAAAUAUAAAAUAUAGAGAUUGUAAUUUGCUUUACGGUUACGAUUUGGUGAGUUUGAACUAUAUGUUUGGUUUUUACAGCUCCAGAGGAAAGAAGCAAACCGCUUUGAGGAUUCACUGCAUAAGAGACUAUUGGUUACUGAAGGACUGUUUUGUAAAGGAAGAUCACAGCUUCAUCCAAGCCUUAGUCACAAGGAUUCUUAAGAGUAAAGACCGGCUAACAAUAUCCGAUGUUGGCCACAUGUGCAAAAAUUAUGUAUCUAAUAAAUGGCCAACAUACUUUUUCACUUUGUUUAAUUUAAA